GCCCGCCUAGCUCAAUCGGAUAGAGCGUCAGACUCUUAGGCGGGUUGAUCUAAUCUGAUCGCUUACGUCAUGUGAGACCAUCUGAAGGCUGCGAGUUCGACCCUCGCGGUGGGCU